rnacentral:rRNA from 1 species
GUUAAGCGACUAAGCGUACACGGUGGAUGCCCUGGCAGUCAGAGGCGAUGAAGGGCGUGCUAAUCUGCGAUAAGCGCCGGUAAGGUGAUAUGAACCGUUAUAACCGGCGAUACCCGAAUGGGGAAACCCAGUGUGAUUCGUCACACUAUCAUUAACUGAAUCCAUAGGUUAAUGAGGCGAACCGGGGGAACUGAAACAUCUAAGUACCCCGAGGAAAAGAAAUCAACCGAGAUUCCCCCAGUAGCGGCGAGCGAACGGGGAGGAGCCCAGAGCCUGAAUCAGCAUGUGUGUUAGUGGAAGCGUCUGGAAAGGCGCGCGAUACAGGGUGACAGCCCCGUACACAAAAGCGCAUGUGCUGUGAGCUCGAUGAGUAGGGCGGGACACGUGGUAUCCUGUCUGAAUAUGGGGGGACCAUCCUCCAAGGCUAAAUACUCCUGACUGACCGAUAGUGAACCAGUACCGUGAGGGAAAGGCGAAAAGAACCCCGGCGAGGGGAGUGAAAAAGAACCUGAAACCGUGUACGUACAAGCAGUGGGAGCACCCUUCGGGGUGUGACUGCGUACCUUUUGUAUAAUGGGUCAGCGACUUAUAUUCUGUAGCAAGGUUAACCGUAUAGGGGAGCCGGAGGGAAACCGAGUCUUAACCGGGCGUUAAGUUGCAGGGUAUAGACCCGAAACCCGGUGAUCUAGCCAUGGGCAGGUUGAAGGUUGGGUAACACUAACUGGAGGACCGAACCGACUAAUGUUGAAAAAUUAGCGGAUGACCUGUGGCUGGGGGUGAAAGGCCAAUCAAACCGGGAGAUAGCUGGUUCUCCCCGAAAGCUAUUUAGGUAGCGCCUCGUGAAUUCAUCUCCGGGGGUAGAGCACUGUUUCGGCUAGGGGGCCAUCCCGGCUUACCAACCCGAUGCAAACUGCGAAUACCGGAGAAUGUUAUCACGGGAGACACACGGCGGGUGCUAACGUCCGUCGUGAAGAGGGAAACAACCCAGACCGCCAGCUAAGGUCCCAAAGUCAUGGUUAAGUGGGAAACGAUGUGGGAAGGCCCAGACAGCCAGGAUGUUGGCUUAGAAGCAGCCAUCAUUUAAAGAAAGCGUAAUAGCUCACUGGUCGAGUCGGCCUGCGCGGAAGAUGUAACGGGGCUAAACCAUGCACCGAAGCUGCGGCAGCGAACGUAUCACCCAAGACAACUUUACGGAGUUGACGAUUGACGGAGCGAAGCGACGUCAAAGCGUUCAUUAAAGUCGAGUUGGCUUAGGGAUACGUUCGUUGGGUAGGGGAGCGUUCUGUAAGCCUGUGAAGGUGUGUCGUGAGGCAUGCUGGAGGUAUCAGAAGUGCGAAUGCUGACAUAAGUAACGAUAAAGCGGGUGAAAAGCCCGCUCGCCGGAAGACCAAGGGUUCCUGUCCAACGUUAAUCGGGGCAGGGUGAGUCGACCCCUAAGGCGAGGCCGAAAGGCGUAGUCGAUGGGAAACGGGUUAAUAUUCCCGUACUUGGUGUUACUGCGAAGGGGGGACGGAGAAGGCUAUGUUGGCCGGGCGACGGUUGUCCCGGUUUAAGCGUGUAGGUGUGUGUUCCAGGUAAAUCCGGUUCACUUUAACACUGAGGCGUGACGACGAGGCACUACGGUGCUGAAGCAACAAAUGCCCUGCUUCCAGGAAAAGCCUCUAAGCAUCAGGUAACAUCAAAUCGUACCCCAAACCGACACAGGUGGUCAGGUAGAGAAUACCAAGGCGCUUGAGAGAACUCGGGUGAAGGAACUAGGCAAAAUGGUGCCGUAACUUCGGGAGAAGGCACGCUGACACGUAGGUGAAGUGAUUUACUCAUGGAGCUGAAGUCAGUCGAAGAUACCAGCUGGCUGCAACUGUUUAUUAAAAACACAGCACUGUGCAAACACGAAAGUGGACGUAUACGGUGUGACGCCUGCCCGGUGCCGGAAGGUUAAUUGAUGGGGUCAGCGUAAGCGAAGCUCCUGAUCGAAGCCCCGGUAAACGGCGGCCGUAACUAUAACGGUCCUAAGGUAGCGAAAUUCCUUGUCGGGUAAGUUCCGACCUGCACGAAUGGCGUAAUGAUGGCCAGGCUGUCUCCACCCGAGACUCAGUGAAAUUGAACUCGCUGUGAAGAUGCAGUGUACCCGCGGCAAGACGGAAAGACCCCGUGAACCUUUACUAUAGCUUGACACUGAACAUUGAGCCUUGAUGUGUAGGAUAGGUGGGAGGCUUUGAAGUGUGGACGCCAGUCUGCAUGGAGCCGACCUUGAAAUACCACCCUUUAAUGUUU